AAAAGCCAGGGGGCGCUCUCGGGCAGAAACUUAACAUGCGAAGAACCAGACACACGCAGCUCCAGGAAAUUAAGGAUAUAUUUAUAUUGCUGUUCUUCAAACCUUUUCAGGGAAGGAAAAACAAAUCAUGACACUUUCUCACAUUAUUCUGAAAAUUAGAGGGGUGCGAGGGGCCUCCAACACUUCAAAUAUCUAGAACCGGCCCUGGUCUCUUGAGAUACUUAGAAAUCCCACCGGAAGCAGAUCAUCCAGAUCAGAGCUUCUGUUUCCUGUCCUCUUAGUAAAAUGGCUUCAAUCGAGGAGAAAUGUCAGAUUUCAAACCGACUUCAGAUGACAAAUGCUGUCCUUGCAAGGGUCAGAAUGGGGUCAAUCUGUAUAAUAGGACUAAACUUUUCCUGCUGGUUUUGUCCGUCUCAGUUAAUUUCUUCUUGGAAGUCUGAGCGCUCUUAGGAUGAAUUGUAAGUACUCCUAAACAACAUCCUG